rnacentral:rRNA from 1 species
GGGAUCCGAUUUUAGCAUGGAAUAAUAAAAUAGGACUUUUGGUUCUAUUUUGUUGGUUUCUAGAGUCGCCGUAAUGAUUAAUAGGGACAGUUGGGGGCAUUAGUAUUGAGUUGCUAGAGGUGAAAUUCUUGGAUUUACACAAGACUAACUUAUGCGAAAGCAUUUGCCAAGGACGUUUUCAUUAAUCAAGAACGAAGGUUAGGGGAUCGAAAACGAUUAGAUACCGUUGUAGUCUUAACAGUAAACUAUGCCGACUAGGGAUCGGGCAAUCUCACUUUAUGUGUUGCUCGGCACCUUACGAGAAAUCAAAGUCUUUGGGUUCCGGGGGGAGUAUGGUCGCAAGGCUGAAACUUAAAGGAAUUGACGGAAGGGCACCACCAGGAGUGGAGCCUGCGGCUUAAUUUGACCCAACACGGGGAAACUCACCAGGUCCAGAAAUCUAGA